GCCGGGGUUCCCGAGUGGCCAAAGGGGCAGGACUUAAGAUCCUGUGGCUUAGUGCCUUCGCAGGUUCGAAUCCUGCCUCCGGCA
rnacentral:tRNA from 1 species